rnacentral:lncRNA from 1 species
CUUUAUCGUCCCUUUUUCCUUCUCAAGAAACACUAUCUUCUGUAGGAAAGAAAGAGAGACAACACAAAAAAUUAAAAUUUUUCUCUCUUCCCUCUCUGACUCUAUCCGUCUCUAAAUUUUCAACUGUUGAUCCCAAAACAAUCAUCAUGUUCUCGACUGUCCUGCCACCCACCUUACCUUUUCUCUUCAAAGCCAUUACUGUCUCUAUCAUCAUCACCAACAGAAACAAAGAAGAAAACAAGUCGGAGAAAUGGACAUCUGACGACUGACAAUGGAGUAUAAGGAGAAGAAAAACUCUCUAAUUGAAGUGAAAUAAAGGGUCUUCUUCUCUCGCUUUAGAAUCACUUCUUCUCAUGGGGAAUUAAGCAUCUUGGUCCGAUCAUUUUCUACAGCAACGUAAAAGCCUAUAAUCAUAUUAAUCACUUUGUCUAAAUGGGAGGCUGUCGUUUUAUUCUGCACUGAUUAAGGUUAUAGAUCUUGUUUUAAUUAGAUAUUUCGAGUAGUGGUGGUUAUGAAUAUGUUCGUGUUAGUGUGCUGUAAUGCAGAUGCGUGAAUGGUUUUUUAUGUAUCUGUAUAUGAAACAAGAAUCUCCCU